rnacentral:rRNA from 1 species
UACGUAGGGUGCAAGCGUUGUCCGGAAUUAUUGGGCGUAAAGAGCUCGUAGGCGGUUUGUCGCGUCUGCUGUGAAAACGCGAGGCUCAACCUCGCGCCUGCAGUGGGUACGGGCAGACUAGAGUUCGGUAGGGGAGUCUGGAAUUCCUGGUGUAGCGGUGAAAUGCGCAGAUAUCAGGAGGAACACCGGUGGCGAAGGCGGGACUCUGGGCCGAUACUGACGCUGAGGAGCGAAAGCGUGGGGAGCAAACAGG